UAGGGAAUCUUCGGCAAUGGACGAAAGUCUGACCGAGCGACGCCGCGUGAGUGAAGAAGGUUUUCGGAUCGUAAAACUCUGUUGGUAGAGAAGAACGUUGGUGAGAGUGGAAAGCUCAUCAAGUGACGGUAACUACCCAGAAAGGGACGGCUAACUACGUGCCAA
rnacentral:rRNA from 1 species